AUGCAUGUGGUAGAGGAGUUGCUGGAGUUAUUUGCAACAGAAGAGAUGUGUGGGGAGAACGAUCAAGAUCACUCAGCAUUGGACGAGGAUAAUCUCUGCACUAUCUCUAAACAAGCAGUGGAUGGAUCAUCUGGACCGGGGGUGAUGCAGUUGCACGCGUGGAUACAGAGUAAGGAAAUGUCACUGUUGGUAGAUUCAGGCAGUUCAUCAUCUUUUGUGGAUCUUCAUAUGGCUGCUCAGCUAUCUAGCGUGUGCAAGCUGCCAAGGACUUGUCGAGUUAAGGUUGCGGACGAUUCUGUUUUACACUGUGACAGCUUCAUUCCCCAGUGUCAGUGGUCAUCUCAAGGGCAUGAAUUUGUCACAGAUUUUAAGCUUCUCUCACUAGGGGCUUAUGACGCAAUUUUGGGGAUUGAUUGGCUCAAGAUACAUAGCCCGAUGCAUGUCGACUGGGAAGCACAUCACAUGACAGUGACCACAGAUCAAGGAAGAACUGUAGAUUUGCAAGGAGUCACUAAACAUCAACACCAGUGUUCUACGAUUUCGUCUCAAGAGCUCCUGUCUGCCUGUAAGCAAGGCUCUGUUGCUUAUGUAGUACACCUGAAUGCUGUCAGAGAGAAGGGGGUGCAAGAGGAAAACAUAUCAGUGGAAAUUCUCAGGGUGUUGGAGCAGUACACAGAUGUUUUUGAAAAACCAAAAGUGCUCCCACCAAGGCGUGCUUGUGAUCAUCGGAUACCACUUAUAGAGGGGGCUCAACCAGUUAACCAGCGCCCCUAUAGACACAAGCCAAAACUCAAAAAAUGA
rnacentral:rRNA from 1 species